GCAGCAAAGAGCUCGGGGGUGCCCCUCCCAGGACCGGGCCUAAGUUUCCCGUGCUGUUGUCGCUCACCCUUGGAGCCCGCAGUCGCACCGCAGGCAGCGGGCGCGGCUUCCCUGCAGGCCGCGGAUCGGCCCAGGACAACGCACCGCCCCACCCCGCCCGUCCAGGCCUGGUCGCCUCGAGGCCCACCCUUCCUUACCCAGGAGCAGAGCGGAGCUUCCCACUGGCCGGCCGCCGCCAGGGGCAGCCGCAGGAAACCGUAGCGUCUAGAGCGGGCGAAAGGACAGCAGCGGUCACCUCCGGCUCCGCCCCGCCUCUGCAGCAGGAUCAAGGCGCAUGCCCACCAGGGAGGCGGUGCGGAGAGGCAGGCCUCAGAGUGCCACGUGACUCCUUAAAGCGCUGGUGCCCGCCUCGUCACCACUAGCCUUCUGAGCCGCGAGGCCAGCCGCCGUCCUCGGGCCCGUCAGGGAGGGGCCUCGCAAACCCCUCGCUCUGUCCCUCCCACUGCCCUGCCCGAGCGCCGUCGCCAUGGACACGGCGCGAGGUAAGGAGGCCUUACACAAGAGGUCUCGACCAAGGAGAGGAGAGCUGCGCGCUUCCUAGCUAGGAGGAGCUAACGCGGGGCAUGCCGGGUCGGGGUCCUUUGAGGACAGUUUUUCCGCCUAGCAACAGCACCUACCACUACUCCCCCAACCCCCCCAGGCCUCGUAGGACCGCAGGAGAGAUGCUGAGCGCUGGCAUUCAGGGAUGCCUGAGGAUCUGCGGCCCUGCGAGGGAUGAGCGCCCCGUCCCAUCACGAAGAGGCGGGACUUCUCUGGUUCCCUGCCCCCUCCCGCGGACUUUGGGGUAAUGCAGAAGAGCAUGAAGAGAGAAGAGACCAGUCCCAUCCAAAUAGCAGGGGAGAAGAAGGCUGCACAGUCGCUGGCACCAGAAAAGCUGCCACCAGACAAGUUGAAGGCCUGGAUCUGGAAAUCCUGGAGAGUUACGCUCCAGGGGGAGCGAAAAUCAUGAGGCAUCAGAAGGCCCCAUUUGGUGGGGUCACUGCUUACGUACUGGCAGUGAUAGGAGUAGGUGCUGGGUGCGAUGACCUGCACAGAACUGAAGAAGGCAGUUGAGUUGUGGGUCUUGAUCUCGAGCCCCUCCAUGGUGAACCAGCUGCGGUGCGACCCUGGGUAGAAGUGAUUGAUCAUACUGAACCUCAGCCUCAAGAAGGGACCAAAGAGGUUGUUGUAGGUCAUUACAAGCUGGGCAGUGGAGUCGUUCCAGCUGGAGCCCGUCAGAUUGAGCUCCGGGGCUCCGAAGGUGAGGGACGUGAGGUCUUGUGUCUGGCUGUCAUAGCUCACUGAGAAGUGCCUGGCCCAGAACAGUAUUCGAGGCUCCGUGUCACUGUAGCUCACCGGUGGCAGGGCCGGUGGCCAGGCUGGCUGGGCUUUAUACUCUUGCCCCAGGCCCCUAGACACAAGCGACAAAUCUCUGGCUGCUCUGGAAGGCCGAAGAGCGGUGAGCAAGGCUGUGUAGGGCUUUCCUUCUGCCUGGAGCCUGCUCAGCACCUGCCCAAGGAUCUUAUCUUGGCCAGCAAGGGUUUCCUUGUGAGCCCCCAAGUCACUGCUGGCCGCUGAGGGUAUGUACACUAGCAGCAGUAGAGGGUGGGUGGUGUUCAGCGUCAGCUCUCUCAGGGAUGCCUGGUCCACAUGAAGAGGGCCUGUACCCAACUUCUGGGUCAGGUAAGACGUUAGGGUGGCAGCUGCAGACCAGCCCACUGCUGGCAGCACCAAGGAGGAGGGGGCCCUUUCCAAGACCUCCUGCAGGUUAGGGAAGGGACUCUCGGGCUUGUCGCCAAGCACCUCACCGAAAGCAGUGAAAUCCUCCAGCCUCAGCUUUUCCUGCAGGAUCAGCAGUACAGUCUGGGGUCCCUUCUCCAAAAUGGGGUCCAGGCAGGUGUAAAGUUCAGGACGGGUGUAGAUGUGACCUUCAUAAGGGUUUUCCACGGAGGCCCGCAAACCCGGGGAACUGGACCACAGCAACAAGGGUACCUGAGGAUCCGAGGCUUCCGACCGCGCUGCCAGAAGCAGCAACUGCAGCAGCAGCAGCCCCCGGAGGAACCCGAUCCGCCGA
ensembl:lncRNA